AGCGAACGCUGGCGGCAGGCCUAACACAUGCAAGUCGAACGAACUCUUCGGAGUUAGUGGCGGACGGGUGAGUAACACGUGGGAACGUGCCUUUUGGUUCGGAAUAACUCAGGGAAACUUGUGCUAAUACCGAAUGUGCCCUUCGGGGGAAAGAUUUCUCGCCAUUAGAGCGGCCCGCGUCUGAUUAGCUAGUUGGUGAGGUAACGGCUCACCAAGGCGACGAUCAGUAGCUGGUCUGAGAGGAUGACCAGCCACACUGGGACUGAGACACGGCCCAGACUCCGACGGGAGGCAGCAGUAGGGAAUCUUGCGCAAUGGGCGAAAGCCUGACGCAGCCAUGCCGCGUGAAUGAUGAAGGUCUUAGGAUUGUAAAAUUCUUUCACCGGGGACGAUAAUGACGGUACCCGGAGAAGAAGCCCCGGCUAACUUCGUG
rnacentral:rRNA from 1 species